AGCUCCCCGAGUGGUGAGGAUGAUUAUUUGGCCUAAAGCGUCCGUAGCCUGCUCGGCAAGUCUUUCGUUAAAUCCAACGAUCUAAUCGUUGGGCUGCGGGGGAUACUGCAGGGCUAGGGGGCGGAAGAAGCCGACGGUACUCUUGGGGUAGGGGUGAAAUCCUAUAAUCCUAAGAGGACCACCAGUGGCGAAGGCGGUCGGCUAGAACGCGCCCGACGGUGAGGGACGAAAGCUGGGGGAGCGAUCCGGAUUAGAUACCCGAGUAGUCC
rnacentral:rRNA from 1 species